rnacentral:rRNA from 1 species
AUUGAACGCUGGCGGCAGGCCUAACACAUGCAAGUCGAACGAGUGGCGGACGGGUGAGUAAUGUCUGGGAACCUGCCCGAUGGAGGGGGAUAACUACUGGAAACGGUAGCUACUACCGCAUACCAUCGGAUGUGCCCAGAUGGUAUUAGCUAGUCGGUGGCGUAACGGCUAACCUAGGCGACGAUCCCUAGCUGGUCUGAGAGGAUGACCAGCUACACUGGAACUGAGACACGGUCCAGACUCCUACGGGAGGCAGCAUUGGGGAAUAUUGCACAAUGGGCGCAAGCCUGAUGCAGCCAUGCCGCGUGUAUGAAGAAGUCAUUCGGGUUGUAAAGUACUUUCAGCGAGGAGGCGGUACUCGCAGAAGAAGCACCGGCUAACUCCGUGCCAGCAGCCGCGGUAAUAC